rnacentral:rRNA from 1 species
AUUGAACGCUGGCGGCAUGCCUUACACAUGCAAGUCGAACGGCAGCACGGGGGCAACCCUGGUGGCGAGUGGCGAACGGGUGAGUAACAUAUCGGAACAUACCCUAGAGUGGGGGAUAACGUAGCGAAAGUUACGCUAAUACCGCAUACGAUCUAAGGAUGAAAAGUGGGGGGAUCUUCGGACCUCAUGCUCAUGGAGUGGCCGAUAUCUGAUUAGCUAGUUGGUGAGGUAAAGGCUCACCAAGGCGACGAUCAGUAGCUGGUUUGAGAGAACGACCAGCCACACUGGAACUGAGACACGGUCCAGACUCCUACGGGAGGCAGCAGUGGGGAAUUUUGGACAAU